AGUGAACGCUGGCGGUAGGCCUAACACAUGCAAGUCGAACGGCAGCACAGUAAGAGCUUGCUCUUACGGGUGGCGAGUGGCGGACGAGUGAGGAAUACAUCGGAAUCUACUUUUUCGUGGGGGAUAACGUAGGGAAACUUACGCUAAUACCGCAUACGACCUACGGGUGAAAGCAGGGGAUCUUCGGACCUUGCGCGAUUGAAUGAGCCGAUGUCGGAUUAGCUAGUUGGCGGGGUAAAGGCCCACCAAGGCGACGAUCCGUAGCUGGUCUGAGAGGAUGACCAGCCACACUGGACCUGAGACACGGUCCAGACUCCUACGGGAGGCAGCAGUGGGGAAUAUUGGAAAAUGGGCGCAAGCCUGAUCCAGCCAUACCGCGUGGGUGAAGAAGGCCUUCGGGUUGUAAAGCCCUUUUGUUGGGAAAAAAAAGCAGCAGGUUAAUACCCCGCUGUUCUGACGGUACCAAAAGAAUAAGCACCGGCUAACUUCGU
rnacentral:rRNA from 1 species